AUUGAACGCUGGCGGCAUGCCUUACACAUGCAAGUCGAACGGUAACAGGUCUUCGGAUGCUGACGAGUGGCGAACGGGUGAGUAAUACAUCGGAACGUGCCUAGUAGUGGGGGAUAACUACUCGAAAGAGUGGCUAAUACCGCAUGAGAUCUACGGAUGAAAGCAGGGGAUCGCAAGACCUUGUGCUACUAGAGCGGCCGAUGGCAGAUUAGGUAGUUGGUGGGAUAAAAGCUUACCAAGCCGACGAUCUGUAGCUGGUCUGAGAGGACGAUCACCCAACCUGGGACUGAGACACGGCCCAGACUCCGACGGGAGGCAGCGGUGGGGAAUUUUGGACAAUGGGUGAAGGCCUGAUCCAGCAAUGCCGCGUGCAGGAUGAAGGCCUUCGGGUUGUAAACUGCUUUUGUACGGAACGAAAAGCCCCGGGUUAAUACCCUGGGGUCAUGACGGUACCGUAAGAAUAAGCACCGGCUAACUACGUGCCAGCCGCCGCAGUAA
rnacentral:rRNA from 1 species